rnacentral:rRNA from 3 species
AGACCCGAAACCCGGUGAUCUAGCCAUGGGCAGGUUGAAGGUUGGGUAACACUAACUGGAGGACCGAACCGACUAAUGUUGAAAAAUUAGCGGAUGACCUGUGGCUGGGGGUGAAAGGCCAAUCAAACCGGGAGAUAGCUGGUUCUCCCCGAAAGCUAUUUAGGUAGCGCCUCGUGAAUUCAUCUCCGGGGGUAGAGCACUGUUUCGGCUAGGGGGCCAUCCCGGCUUACCAACCCGAUGCAAACUGCGAAUACCGGAGAAUGUUAUCACGGGAGACACACGGCGGGUGCUAACGUCCGUCGUGAAGAGGGAAACAACCCAGACCGCCAGCUAAGGUCCCAAAGUCAUGGUUAAGUGGGAAACGAUGUGGGAAGGCCCAGACAGCCAGGAUGUUGGCUUAGAAGCAGCCAUCAUUUAAAGAAAGCGUAAUAGCUCACUGGUCGAGUCGGCCUGCGCGGAAGAUGUAACGGGGCUAAACCAUGCACCGAAGCUGCGGCAGCGAACGUAUCACCCAAGACAACUUUACGGAGUUGACGAUUGACGGAGCGAAGCGACGUCAAAGCGUUCAUUAAAGUCGAGUUGGCUUAGGGAUACGUUCGUUGGGUAGGGGAGCGUUCUGUAAGCCUGUGAAGGUGUGUCGUGAGGCAUGCUGGAGGUAUCAGAAGUGCGAAUGCUGACAUAAGUAACGAUAAAGCGGGUGAAAAGCCCGCUCGCCGGAAGACCAAGGGUUCCUGUCCAACGUUAAUCGGGGCAGGGUGAGUCGACCCCUAAGGCGAGGCCGAAAGGCGUAGUCGAUGGGAAACGGGUUAAUAUUCCCGUACUUGGUGUUACUGCGAAGGGGGGACGGAGAAGGCUAUGUUGGCCGGGCGACGGUUGUCCCGGUUUAAGCGUGUAGGUGUGUGUUCCAGGUAAAUCCGGUUCACUUUAACACUGAGGCGUGACGACGAGGCACUACGGUGCUGAAGCAAC